rnacentral:lncRNA from 1 species
CCCCGCUCCUAUACGAUGAGUGACAUCCCCGUCAAUCUCUACGUCCCCCUGAAUCACCGACCCAAGAUAUCUGACACCGUCCCUCUUGGCGAUGACCUGAGAUCCAAUCAUCACGUCCCUGCCUACUUCGCUCGGCUUGUCGCUAAACUUGCACUCCAGGUAUUCUAUCUUAGAUCUGCUUAUUUUGAAACCCUUAGACUCGAGAGUCUGUCUUCAUACCUCUAACCUCUCAAUA